rnacentral:rRNA from 1 species
GUCUAUGGCUAUGUCACCCUGAACAUGCCGGAUCUUCUCUGAUCUCGGAAGCUAAGCAGGGUCAGGCCUGGUUAGUACUUGGAUGGGAGACCACCUAGGAAGACCAGGUGCUGUAGGCA